rnacentral:rRNA from 1 species
GCUCUCGGGUGACGAGUGGCGGACGGGUGAGUAAUGUCUGGGAAACUGCCUGAUGGAGGGGGAUAACUACUGGAAACGGUAGCUAAUACCGCAUAACGUCGCAAGACCAAAGAGGGGGACCUUCGGGCCUCUUGCCAUCAGAUGUGCCCAGAUGGGAUUAGCUAGUAGGUGGGGUAACGGCUCACCUAGGCGACGAUCCCUAGCUGGUCUGAGAGGAUGACCAGCCACACUGGAACUGAGACACGGUCCAGACUCCUACGGGAGGCAGCAGUGGGGAAUAUUGCACAAUGGGCGCAAGCCUGAUGCAGCCAUGCCGCGUGUAUGAAGAAGGCCUUCGGGUUGUAAAGUACUUUCAGCGGGGAGGAAGGUGUUGCGGUUAAUAACCGCAGCAAUUGACGUUACCCGCAGAAGAAGCACCGGCUAACUCCGUGCCAGCAGCCGCGGUAAUACGGAGGGUGCAAGCGUUAAUCGGAAUUACUGGGCGUAAAGCGCACGCAGGCGGUCUGUCAAGUCGGAUGUGAAAUCCCCGGGCUCAACCUGGGAACUGCAUUCGAAACUGGCAGGCUAGAGUCUUGUAGAGGGGGGUAGAAUUCCAGGUGUAGCGGUGAAAUGCGUAGAGAUCUGGAGGAAUACCGGU